UCUAUCUACAUGAUGAGAUUACCGAAACCUCAUUUUACCGGCAAAACUUUCUCAUUGACUUCCAGCAGGACCUCAUCAAUUGAAUUUUGACUCCAUGAGAACCAUCGACGACUUCAACAAAACAUCGUUUAAGAAAGACAGUAACCUUUGAUUUCCCAUGCAGUUCAAGUCUUUAGCUGUACGAUGUACCUAUAUGAGAAUCGGGUUUAUGCUUGACAGACGACGGAAUCCUGAUCAGGUGCUGAAGAAGGCUUGAUCCAAAUUUAUGACUUCCCGUCUUUCAAGAUCAGUAAGUUUGACUGAUUGCCAAAGUCAACAGCAGGAUUUCCAUAAGCAUCUCGACCCAAAUUCAUGAUACCCACAUGUAAAAAACUGCAAGCAACAAAGAAUUUCUCAAUUUUUGUAUCAUUUCUC
rnacentral:lncRNA from 1 species